CCCUUAGAUGUUCUGGGCCGCACGCGCGCUACACUGACGAAUGCAACGAGCUUAUAACCUUGGCCGAAAGGUCUGGGUAAUCUCCAAAUUUCGUCGUGAUGGGGAUAGAUUAUUGCAAUUAUUAAUCUUCAACGAGGAAUGCCUAGUAAGCGCAAGUCAUCAGCUUGCGUUGAUUACGUCCCUGCCCUUUGUACACACCGCCCGUCGCACCUACCGAUUGAAUGGUCCGGUGAAGCCUCGGGAUUGUGGCCAGUUCACUUUAUUGGGAGUUGGCUGUGAGAACUUGUCUAAACCUUAUCAUUUAGAGGAAGGUGAAGUCGUAACA
rnacentral:rRNA from 1 species